GGAAGUAAAGUCGUAACAAGGUCUCCGUAGGUGAACCUGCGGAGGGAUCAUUA
rnacentral:rRNA from 1 species